UCCCUUCUGGCUCAGCUGGUAAAGAAUCUGCUUGCAACGCAGGAGACCUGAGUUCGAUCCCUGGGUUGGGAA
rnacentral:tRNA from 1 species